rnacentral:rRNA from 1 species
CUACGGGGUGCUGCAGUGAGGAAUAUUGCACAAUGGGCGAAAGCCUGAUGCAGCAACGCCGCGUGGGUGAUGAAGGCCUUCGGGUUGUAAAACCCUUUUCUGGGGGACGAGGAAGGACGGUACCUCAGGAAUAAGCCUCGGCUAACUACGUGCCAGCAGCCGCGGUAAAACGUAGGAGGCGAGCGUUAUUCGGAUUUACUGGGCGUAAAGCGCGUGCAGGCGGUUCUGUAAGUUGGAGGUUAAAUCUCUCGGCUCAACUGAGAGGCGUCCUUCAAAACUGCAGGGCUUGAGGAUGGGAGAGGGAAGUGGAAUUCCCGGUGUAGUGGUGGAAUGCGUAGAUAUCGGGAGGAACACCAGUGGCGAAGGCGGCUUCCUGGCCCAUACCUGACGCUAAGACGCGAAAGCGUGGGGAGCGAACGGGAUUAGAUACCCCGGUAGUC